GAAGCUUUUAGAUUCUGUGAAACCCUAGGGACCGGACUUGCAGCUAUAAGAAAACUGAAUUGCCAUUUGCUUCUUCCAUCUUCUGUUUCCAGCCGCCACCAUAGACAGUAGACACUGUACCAAAACCCUGGGGUUUAGAUAUUGUUCUUGAUUCCUUGCCGUUAUUGUUGUAUUAAUUGUAUAUAAGCAUAUAUGGGUUAUGAUUAUAAAGAGAGAGGGCUUAAGUGGGAUCUUCAACAAAACCCAUUUGGAUUUGGAGGUUAAAAAGAUGGAAAGAAAGGCAGACACAAAAGAAGAAGAAGCCGCCACUCAGAGAGUAAGGCUUUGGUUUCUCUUCAAAAAUUUGUUGUUUGGAAAAUGGUGAGGUAAUUAGGCAGCGGCCAGACAACCGUAGGGAUGGUAUCCACAGAUGACGGGUCCUUUUUCCCGCUUUGUCUACUGAUUCCAUCUCACAUUUCUUACAUUUGAUGGUUUAAAUAUUUUUACUAUUAUUAUUUGUUGUGAGCCCAUGAAUCGGUGGAAGUUCAUAUAUCAAUUAAAUUCAUGAAAAAAGUGGAUGAAAUACCAGUUUUGUU